GUCCCUGUGCUUGCUCCAUGGCCCACUCCUCUAUUGGUCGCUGCAGGGACAGUUGGCCAGCAAUUGUAUUGGUGGCUGCUUGUAAUCAGCUUAGCUACUGCCUGAAUAUAUAUUCAUGGUAACUGUACAAUCAAAUUAGGCCUGCUUCCUGCUUGGUCUCCAGAGGUCUUGAUUAGAGACUCCGUAGCCAGUCUCCUCUACCCUGUUCCGUGGACCUCCUUACUGGACAAGAGAGUGCCCACACACAGAGCAACAUCCAGUUCUUCCUUCUCUGCCUUUACCACAGUAUAAAUUCUGAAUGGUUUCAGAAAUUGUGGAUGAACAAACACAGACUCUGGACACAGUGAUCCUCCUGCAGAGGGCUCAGCAACAAGGUGCCAUCAUGGAAGCAGAGACCAUGCACUCACCAGAUAUCAAAACCUUGAUCUUCAGAACUGUGAGGAAUAAAUUUGUGGUAUUUUUUUAUAGAAGCAGAAAAUAAACUAAGACAGAUAUAAAAGGAUAUCAAAGAGAUUAUCAACCGAAAACAGUAAU